rnacentral:rRNA from 1 species
GAGUUUGAUCUUGGCUCAGAUUGAACGCUGGCGGAAUGCUUUACACAUGCAAGUCGAACGGCAGCACGGGGGCAACCCUGGUGGCGAGUGGCGAACGGGUGAGUAAUACAUCGGAACGUGCCCAGUCGUGGGGGAUAACGUAGCGAAAGCUACGCUAAUACCGCAUACGAACUCUGGUUGAAAGCGGGGGAUCGCAAGACCUCGCGCGAUUGGAGCGGCCGAUGGCAGAUUAGGUAGUUGGUGGGGUAAAGGCUCACCAAGCCGACGAUCUGUAGCUGGUCUGAGAGGACGACCAGCCACACUGGGACUGAGACACGGCCCAGACUCCUACGGGAGGCAGCAGUGGGGAAUUUUGGACAAUGGGCGCAAGCCUGAUCCAGCCAUUCCGCGUGCAGGAUGAAGGCCCUCGGGUUGUAAACUGCUUUUGUACGGAACGAAAAGGCCUUCUCUAAUACAGAGGGCUCAUGACGGUACCGUAAGAAUAAGCACCGGCUAACUACGUGCCAGCCGCCGCCGUAAG